UCCCCCCACUGCACCCCACCGCGUCUCGCCCCGCCCGCGGGCUGGAUCCGGCCCAGGGCGCCGCGCCUCUCGUGAGCCGUGUAAUUAGAGCCUGGUGGUGUCAGGGUUGUAAUUAUGCAGAUUGAGAGUGUGAGGGGAAUGGGAAUCACAAAUAGAGGCUUUGUUGGGCUUGAAAGGAGCUAAUUCAGCCAAAAGCUGCCGUUUGUAGGUUUGAAACGUGCUGAUUCUGGGAGUUUUGGCUCAAAGCGAGGAAAGCGACGCGUUUUUCAAGUUGUGUCGGUGGUGAAGGAAAGACUGAACCGAGCAUUGCAGAAAACGACGUAACUAUGUAUUGGUUAUGUACAGGAGAACUGAAGUGAAAGAUGCCCUCGUGUUGAAAUGACUCCCUUAACCAAAUCCAGACACGUAGGCUGUUGCCCCAGCUGAUGCUUCCAAUUUCUUUGGCACCAAGCCUGCUUUGAAUGGGCAAGGUGCCAUUGCCUCCCUCUAAGUGCCUCUAUUGAUUGCAUAGGUACAACUCUACAGAGAGGCUUGAAGAGAUGAACUUGCAGUGCGACCAAGAUCUCCCUCACAGGGAAGGAAGUCUUCAUGCACUUCUUCAACAUCGACUAUAGAGGAAGCCUCGCAGGGGACUUAGAAGAUUUUGAAGUUUUGUUCACAGUGAUACACAAAAGAGCCAAGGGUGAGCCUCUGACUGCGAACCCAAAUGACACCGACAGAUCCCUGCCCUGAGGUCAGUCUCUCUACAGCACAUUUACCUUGAGGAGAAUUAAUUGGAAUAGUCCAAAGUGAAACCGUGAAGAAAGAAUUGCAAGCAUGAUAGAAAAAUUUUGGGAGCACUUGUUACCUCAGGUUUCCAGCACUUCAUAUACUCAGGCCCCAGUCAAUGCUGGGCAUCAAGCUGCCAAGAGUCCAAACAAGUACUUAGGCAUGGGAUGCUUUCUCUUUGCAUGGCAUCUUCUGCAUCAAACUCAGUCCAUCAAAGAACUGCCCUGCUCUCUUGCUCCCAAAAUUAGCUCUAGCCAAAAGUUAGGAAAUAACCAGCAAUCACUGAU